rnacentral:rRNA from 1 species
AACGAACGCUGGCGGCAGGCCUAACACAUGCAAGUCGAGCGAAGCCUUCGGGCUUAGCGGCGGACGGGUGAGUAACGCGUGGGAACGUGCCCUUUGGUACGGAAUAGCCCCGGGAAACUGGGAGUAAUACCGUAUGUGGUCGAGAGACGAAAGAUUUAUCGCCAAAGGAUCGGCCCGCGUUGGAUUAGGUAGUUGGUGGGGUAAUGGCCUACCAAGCCGACGAUCCAUAGCUGGUUUGAGAGGAUGAUCAGCCACACUGGGACUGAGACACGGCCCAGACUCCUACGGGAGGCAGCAGUGGGGAAUCUUAGACAAUGGGGGAAACCCUGAUCUAGCCAUGCCGCGUGAUUGAUGAAGGCCUUAGGGUUGUAAAGAUCUUUCAGUGGGGAAGAUAAUAACUGUACCCACAGAAGAAGCCCCGGCUAACUCCGUGCCAGCCGCCGCGGUAAAAC